rnacentral:rRNA from 1 species
AACGUAGGUGGCGAGCGUUAUCCGGAUUUACUGGGCGUAAAGGGUGUGCAGGCGGGGUAUCAAGUGGUGUAUGAAAGGGCGCGGCUCAACCGCGCUAGGUUAUGCCAGACUGAUGCUCUUGAGGACCAAACAGGGCUGUGGAAUUCCGGGUGUAGUGGUGAAAUGCGUAGAGAUCCGGAGGAACCCCAGAGGCGAAGGCGGUUAGCUGGGCAGUUGUUGGACACUGAUGCGCGACAGCGUGGGGAGCAAACAGG